rnacentral:rRNA from 1 species
GACGAACGCUGGCGGCGUGCUUAACACAUGCAAGUCGAACGGUGAAGCCUUCGGGUGGAUCAGUGGCGAACGGGUGAGUAACACGUGAGCAAUCUGCCCUUGACUCUGGGAUAACUUCGGGAAACCGGAGCUAAUACCGGAUAUGACAUCUGGCCGCAUGGUCUGGGUGUGGAAAGAUUUAUCGGUCAAGGAUGAGCUCGCGGCCUAUCAGCUUGUUGGUGGGAAUGCCACCAAGCGACGACGGUAGCCGGCCUGAGAGGGCGGACCGGCCGACACUGGGACGUGAGACACGGCCCGAGAACUCCUACGGGAGGCAGCAGUGGGGAAGUAUUGCGCAAUGGGCGGAAGCCUGACGCAGCGACGCCGCGUGAGGGAUGAAGGCCGUUCGGU